GGGCUCCCCGGGGCUCGGUCCUGUCCAGGUGGUCCUGGCCCGCCCCCCCGGAGCGACAGAAACAGGACUGGAUUGGGGGUGUCCUGUCUCAGUGGACGCAGGGCGCCACGGUUCCCAGCACGACA